UAGGGGUUCCUGGAAAUAGCCCUCCACAAGACCGUACCCUAAACCGACACAGGUGGACUGGUAGAGAAUACCAAGGCGCUUGAGAGAACCACAUUUAAGGAACUCGGCAAAAUACCUCCGUAAGUUCGCGAGAAGGAGGCCCCGUUGGCACGCAAGUGUUGGCGGGGGGCACAAGCCAGGGGGUGCCGACUGUUUACUAAAAACACAGGGCUCUGCGAAGCCGUAAGGCGACGUAUAGGGUCUGACGCCUGCCCGGUGCCGGAAGGUUAAAAGGAGAUGUGCAAGCAUUGAAUUGAAGCCCCGGUAAACGGCGGCCGUAACGAUAACGGUCCUAAGGUAGCGAAAUUCCUUGUCGGGUAAGUUCCGACCUGCACGAACGGCGUAACGACCUCCCCGCUGUCUCAAAUGUGGACUCAGCGAAAUUGAAUUGUCUGUGAAGAUGCAGACUUCCCGCGGUUAGACGGAAAGACCCCAUGCACCUUUACUAUAGCUUCGCACUGGCAUCAGGAUUGUGAUGUGCAGGAUAGGUGGUAGGCAUUGAAACCGGGACGCCAGUUCCGGUGGAGCCAUCCUUGAGAUACCACCCUUCGCACUCUUGAUGUCUAACCGCGGCCCGUUAUCCGGGUCCGGGACCCUGCGUGGUGGGUAGUUUGACUGGGGCGGUCGCCUCCCAAAGAGUAACGGAGGCGCGCGAAGGUUGGCUCAGAGCGGUCGGAAAUCGCUCGUUGAGUGCAAUGGCAGAAGCCAGCCUGACUGCAAGACUGACAAGUCGAGCAGAGACGAAAGUCGGCCAUAGUGAUCCGGUGGUCCCGAGUGGAAGGGCCAUCGCUCAACGGAUAAAAGGUACGCUGGGGAUAACAGGCUGAUGAUGCCCAAGAGUCCAUAUCGACGGCAUCGUUUGGCACCUCGAUGUCGGCUCAUCUCAUCCUGGGGCUGGAGCAGGUCCCAAGGGUAUGGCUGUCCGCCAUUUAAAGAGGUACGUGAGCUGGGUUUAGAACGUCGUGAGACAGUUCGGUCCCUAUCUGCCGUGGGUGUAGGAUACUUGAGAGGAGUUGCCCCUAGUACGAGAGGACCGGGGUGAACGUUCCACUGGUGGACCAGUUGUCGUGCCAACGGCAGUGCUGGGUAGCUAUGAACGGACAGGAUAAACGCUGAAGGCAUCUAAGCGUGAAGCCCCCCUCAAAACAAGGUAUCCCUUGAGAGCCGUGGAAGACCACCACGUCGAUAGGCCGGAGAUGUAAGUGCAGCAAUGCAUUCAGUUGACCGGUACUAAUGGCUC
rnacentral:rRNA from 1 species